AGAAAGUAACGCAAGAACUGCUAACUCAUGCCUCCGCGCUUACACCCGCGGCUUUCUUAACUUUUAUAGGAUAGUAGUAAUCCAUUGGUCUUAGGAACCAAAAAUUGGUGCAACUCCAAAUAAAAGUA
rnacentral:tRNA from 1 species